rnacentral:rRNA from 1 species
AUGGAACACGCCCGCACCACAAGCAUCACCCGUUCUGAGCGCUCGGUGCAGCUGCUCGAGAUCCAAGGCUUCAGCACGACGGCGAGCAUGGACAGCGACGAUUUCAUCACAUCAAGAUGGAAGGUCGGCGGGUUCGAGUGGCAGCUCCGCGUCUACCCUUCAGGCCAGCCGUGCCGAAACCAUGCCAGCCCGUGGGUAGCACUGGGGCUUGUCCUCCUCCACGAAACCGUCGGUAUCAGGGCGAGCCUAGGUUGUCAGUUGGUAGAUCAGCGUGGAAAGAUCAACCCAUCUGAAGAAAAGAGGAUGUCAAGAAUAUUCUAUGAUGCCCACGACGACUCUGAUCUAGUGCCGCUCAUGGCUCGACACGAUGUAGUAAAAUCAGGGUAUCUCAAGGAUGAUACUUUGACCCUGCGAUGCACCAUCACUGUGCUCAAAGAUAUACAGAUACCCAGGAUCCCAGCCGAAGGAAUCAUCGCACUGCCAUCCACCAACUUGCACCAACACCUCGGCGCGCUCCUCCAGAGCGAGACCGGAGCCGAUGUCACCUUCAUCGUCUGCGGCGAGUCGUUCGCCGCGCACAAGGACAUACUCGCCGCGCGCUCGCCGGUUUUCAAGGCCCAGUUCUUCGGGGACAUGAAGGAGAAGUGCUCGGUGCGCUUGGAGGUCGAGGACAUGGAGGCGGCAGCUUUCAGGGCCAUGCUGCGCUUCAUCUACACGGACACGGCGCCUGAGCUUGAUCAACCGCUCGAGGAGGGGACGGCCAUGGCUCAGCAUCUUCUUGCGGCCUCCGACAGGUACGAACUAGACAGGCUCAAGCUAAUUUGCGAAAUAAAGCUCUCUGGUAGCAUUAACGUCGAGACAGCAGCGACAACUCUUGCUCUGGCAGAGCAGCACAACUGCUCGAAGCUCAAGGACAAAUGUAUUGAGUUCAUCGUGAGCACUCCUGCGGUUCUUGGCGCUGUGUUGGCGACAGAGGGCUAUAAGCACCUCGAGGCAAGCUGCCCUUUGGUCCUGACCGAGCUUCUCAAGUCUGUCCACCUGAGGAAGAGUUGA